UAAAAAGAGAAUAACAAUGAACCCCCUGAAC
rnacentral:piRNA from 1 species